UACGUAGGCAGCGAGCGUUUGUUCGGAAUUACUGGGCGUAAAGAGUGUGUAGGCGGUGUUCCCAGUCUGUUGUGAAAUCUCCCGGCUUAACUGGGAGGGUGCAGCGGAAACUAGAAUGCUAGAGGGUGGGAGAGGUAAGCGGAAUUCCUGGUGUAGCGGUGAAAUGCGUAGAUAUCAGGAGGAACACCUGUGGUGUAGACAGCUUACUGGACCACUUCUGACGCUGAGACACGAAAGCGUGGGUAGCAAACAGG
rnacentral:rRNA from 1 species